GACGAACGCUGGCGGCGUGCCUAAUACAUGCAAGUCGAACGAACUCUGGUAUUGAUUGGUGCUUGCAUCAUGAUUUACAUUUGAGUGAGUGGCAAACUGGUGAGUAACACGUGGGAAACCUGCCCAGAAGCGGGGGAUAACACCUGGAAACAGAUGCUAAUACCGCAUAACAACUUGGACCGCAUGGUCCGAGCUUGAAAGAUGGCUUCGGCUAUCACUUUUGGAUGGUCCCGCGGCGUAUUAGCUAGAUGGUGGGGUAACGGCUCACCAUGGCAAUGAUACGUAGCCGACCUGAGAGGGUAAUCGGCCACAUUGGGACUGAGACACGGCCCAAACUCCUACGGGAGGCAGCAGUAGGGAAUCUUCCACAAUGGACGAAAGUCUGAUGGAGCAACGCCGCGUGAGUGAAGAAGGGUUUCGGCUCGUAAAACUCUGUUGUUAAAGAAGAACAUAUCUGAGAGUAACUGUUCAGGUAUUGACGGUAUUUAACCAGAAAGCCACGGCUAACUACGUGCCAGCAGCCGCGGUAAUACGUAGGUGGCAAGCGUUGUCCGGAUUUAUUGGGCGUAAAGCGAGCGCAGGCGGUUUUUUAAGUCUGAUGUGAAAGCCUUCGGCUCAACCGAAGAAGUGCAUCGGAAACUGGGAAACUUGAGUGCAGAAGAGGACAGUGGAACUCCAUGUGUAGCGGUGAAAUGCGUAGAUAUAUGGAAGAACACCAGUGGCGAAGGCGGCUGUCUGGUCUGUAACUGACGCUGAGGCUCGAAAGUAUGGGUAGCAAACAGGAUUAGAUACCCUGGUAGUCCAUACCGUAAACGAUGAAUGCUAAGUGUUGGAGGGUUUCCGCCCUUCAGUGCUGCAGCUAACGCAUUAAGCAUUCCGCCUGGGGAGUACGGCCGCAAGGCUGAAACUCAAAGGAAUUGACGGGGGCCCGCACAAGCGGUGGAGCAUGUGGUUUAAUUCGAAGCUACGCGAAGAACCUUACCAGGUCUUGACAUACUAUGCAAAUCUAAGAGAUUAGACGUUCCCUUCGGGGACAUGGAUACAGGUGGUGCAUGGUUGUCGUCAGCUCGUGUCGUGAGAUGUUGGGUUAAGUCCCGCAACGAGCGCAACCCUUAUUAUCAGUUGCCAGCAUUAAGUUGGGCACUCUGGUGAGACUGCCGGUGACAAACCGGAGGAAGGUGGGGAUGACGUCAAAUCAUCAUGCCCCUUAUGACCUGGGCUACACACGUGCUACAAUGGAUGGUACAACGAGUUGCGAACUCGCGAGAGUAAGCUAAUCUCUUAAAGCCAUUCUCAGUUCGGAUUGUAGGCUGCAACUCGCCUACAUGAAGUCGGAAUCGCUAGUAAUCGCGGAUCAGCAUGCCGCGGUGAAUACGUUCCCGGGCCUUGUACACACCGCCCGUCACACCAUGAGAGUUUGUAACACCCAAAGUCGGUGGGGUAACCUUUUAGGAACCAGCCGCCUAAGGUGGGACAGAUGAUUAGGGUG
rnacentral:rRNA from 2 species